rnacentral:rRNA from 1 species
AUGGUUACUCCUGCUUCUGCCCGGCCUGGUUGGGGUCGUUGGGGUCGUCCUUCUGAGAUCCGGGCCACGUUAUUGCCCGUGUGCACCGGCAGCAGUAGUGACAGCAAGGACGGCGACCGGCAAGCGAGGCGGGUGAGCAGAUGGAUAUCCGACGAGCUUCGAAGCUGGUCAUGUCGCUUCGUCCAUGGCAGGGUCAGCGGCGCUCGUCCCCCUGCGUGCUCGCCUGACUUUAGGGGCAAAAGCAAAAGGAAACAGGCAGGGCAACGGUACAACAAAUUCUUGAACACGGAUGGGCGCACCUGUAGACUAGGACCUGAGACUUGGUGGGAGUGCGGUGCACAGUUGGUGGUGAAAUUUGAAAGAUCACAUGGAGUUUUGCUCAUCGCGACAUUUGUGGAUGAUCACAACCAUGUGCUAGCUAGACCCGACGAGGGGUUAAUAACCAUUGUUGCACCACAGUUUUUGGUUACGCCAUUGUGUCUGACCAGACUGAAACCAUUCGUCCCAAGGGCUCUCGCGACCACGUCGCCCCCGCGGGCGACCGGCCGCAUCCCUAGCAUCUCCUCCCCUAGCCCCCCUCCUGUUCCUUCCUUCCCGCCGCCGUCGCUGGCGUCUAGCGCCGGGCCUGACCCGGGUGGUGCCGGCAGCAACGACUGCUGGCCUUUCCCCUCUCGGUGUCGUGCGAACGCGUGGUGUAGCGGCUCAGCAGGAUGUGGGCCCUUUGUGCCCCAUCUGGGUCAGCCGGGCCGGCGGCGGGGAGUGUCGGCGGCGUGGCUUCCUGCAGGCGAGGGAGCAGCGAUGGGCGGGUGGGUGCUGGCGGCGCUGGCGCCGACCUACUGCAGGAGGACCGGCGGGGCUUUGCAGGCCGGGUAUGGACUUGGAAGGGCUAGGGGUGCCCUGGUAUGCCCCUGCUGCCGCGUCCGGACGUCGACCGUGACGGUCCGGAGUCACGGGCCUCUCGCACGACGGCGGUGGAGGGUGGUUCCCUCCCGCGUGGCUCCGGUGCUGCUACUCUCGAUGCCUGGUGCUUCUUCAUCCUCGUCUUGUCCUCGUGGUGGUGAUUUCAGUGAAGCGGCAUGGGUGGCGUCAAGACCGCGGUGGCGCAUGCUGCGGAUCAGAGCCUUGGUCUGUGAUGGGUCGAACUUGGAGGGCGCAGCGGUGGCGGGUCAUUCGCGCUUUGUCGAGCUGCCGUUGUUGGCCUUACUAGCUACACACACACCUUACAACACGGCCGGCGACAAAACCAAAACCAUGGAAGGAAACAAGCCGAUCUGGCUCAGCAAAGAUCAGGGAGGCCUUGUUACAUGUGCCAGUCAAGCGGCAAGGCUCGCCCACAUCCUUACGCUACUGUCGUUGCUGCUCGUUUCUUGUGGAGUUGGCACCAUCCGCUGCUCCUCAACGACUACAGUACAUGAUAACAGCACAGACAUUACCUCGCUGCUAGAUUUCAAGUGGGCCAUCACCAGCGACCGCAGGCAAGCCUUGAGAUCUUGGCACGUCGGCAUCCCCCAUUGCAGUUGGGAAGGCGUCAUCUGCAGUCUUAGGCACCCGGGGCGCGUCACGGAGCUGAACCUCACUGGGCUAGGGUUGUCGGGCCUGAUUUCUCACUCAAUCGGGAAUCUAACGUUCCUUAGGAUUCUAAACCUGUCUAUAAACGACUUCACUGGGGAGUUACCUCCUCUCAGCCGUCUCCAAAGACUGAAGUACCUCCACUUGAGAAACAACUCAUUGCGAGGGAUCAUUCCAGAUACUCUUACAAAUUGCUCGAGUCUACAGACCAUAAGCCUACGUUACAACUUACUAAUAGGUGCAAUUCCCCGUGAUAUAGGCCGCCUAUCCAAUUUAGUGCUAUUAGAUGUUAUCAGUAAUAAUCUCACAGGAACAAUCCCACCAAGCCUAAAAAACAUUAGUCAACUUGAAUCUAUCUACCUUGAUGAUAAUAAGCUCACUGGAACCAUUCCUGGUGAGUUGGGAAAACUCCCAAAUCUUUAUCGAUUACUCCUUGCUGAAAAUAGGUUAUCUGAUGGAAUCCCAGAAACCUUAUACAGAUACAAUCAGUCUUCUCUUCAAGCUUUAGACAUGAGUUUUAAUAUGCUUGGGAAAACACUGCCAUCUAACUUCGGUGACACCCUCCUAAAUCUUGAAUUUCUCUUAUUGAACGAUAACAAUUUUGAAGGUCAUCUCCCAGCGUCACUAGGCAAUAUUUCAGGGCUAGAGUGGUUAGACUUGUCAUUCAACAAUUUCGUUGGUCAAGUUCCAAGUUCUUUUGGUAAUCUUGGACUGUUACAACGCCUAAACCUUCAGCAAAACAAUUUGUCGGGCUUCAUCCCAACAGAGCUGGGUGGCUUGAAACAGCUCACCCAUCUGUAUAUGUCUGAUAAUAAUCUGGAAGAUUCUGAGUUUGUGUUUCAUAGUGAGAAUGUGGCUGGGCCUUACCAUGGAAAAUGCCUGCUGAUCACGCCAAAGGACGGCAUCAUCCCUGCAACACCUCAGCACACGGUGGAGGGAGUGGGCCUGCCUCUAGAAAACUACUGCGUUGAGAUGUUUCCACAACUGCCAGCAGCACACGAGGACGAACUCACCUGGUGA